rnacentral:lncRNA from 1 species
CUGCAGUGAAGGUCGCAGGAAAGACACCAUGGAUACACCACUGCCACAUUAAAGCAGCUCCUGAAGACACCUCGUAGGUCAAAUGGAAGAUCAUCAGUCAACCAGGGGUUCAUGCUGAAAAGGCAGUAUGAAAAUUGGCAUGUAAGGUGGUCAAAGGUUUAAACACUACCUCAUCUGCAUUGGCAUUAAUUAAUCAGGAAUUGCAAGAACACCAACAAGC